AUCAUUUACAUCAGCUUGUGACAUAAAAAAUAAUUGUAGUGAUUAUGUUGAAAUCAAACACUAAUUUUCAGUCACAGGAAACCACAAUCCUUUUUGCAUUAUUUCCCAAUUUUUAGUUCUUAAAUUAUCAAGAAUUCAUUUUUUUUAUAGUGAUUAUGUUGAGACUUCAGAUUUCCUAUAAAUUUUUCUUAUUUUCAAGAAGUCUACAACUUCAGUGUAAAUCGGGGAUUUUGUCUUUGAUCGUAGGGUGUUCGCUGAAAUGCUUGAUCCAAGCAUGCAGCCGUGUGAAGCUAUCGGCUUUGAUAAACUUAUAUCCGACCAUCUCUUCCAUAGGCGCCAACAUAUGAAUAACCAUUCCAAAAACGAGUUCAGCCUCGCCAAUUCCAUUAAAGAGAGCAGCAGCGGCUGGCCUAAGCUAAGCUACCAAGCAAAAGAGGAAGAAGAAGAAGAAGAAGAGAUGGUUUCAGUGUCAGGCAUCUGCGCCAAAAGGGUAGCGGUGAGUGCAAGGCAUCACAUUCCAGGAAGGUUGGCUUCCACAUUGGCCAAGGAGUUAUUGAAUGGCCAAAAAUUAGUGGUGGUGAGAUGUGAAGAGAUUUGCAUGUCGGGUGUAUUAGUAGUAUGAACCCUAAGCCUUCUUAUGAUCCCAUCCACUUUUGUGCUCCUGCAAAGAUCUCCAGCGUACCAUUCGUGGGAUCAAGCGUGGAGCAGCUGCUUUUGCUCGCUUGAAGGCUUAUGAGAGGAUUCCAGCGACAGGUCCUGAUGCUUUCAAUUGGUUAGGUUGAUGGUCCUCCUGAGAAGAAAGCCGAGCCAGAGCCCUCAUUCGAGACCAGCAAGAGUAGUUCCUGCUCAGGAGAAGUUCAUCAAGUUUCUAGAAGACAGCCAAUAUGCACCCGUGAAGUUGGCACCAUCUGGUUUUGUUCUUACUUCUUAGAGACCUGCACCCUAAUGAACCGGAGGCGCUGUCCCUAACCAAAGCGCUUGUGUCUGUGGCUUCUCCAGCAAGUGGAUCAGCAGCAGGUCAACAGAAUUCCUCAUCAGCUAUGGCCAUCAAUGAUGGACCUCAGCCCCCUCAACCUUUUGAGUUCACAUCCUGAUCUUGCCCUGGUUUCGGGUCGGCGAUAGUUUUUAGAGACAAACGGUGUUUUGUGCAUGGGAUGAGAGAUGUUCCCUACUUUACAUGUGUUAAAUUGAUUACCCUUUUGUGCAUGGCUUUGCAUUUCAAUUGAUGCUGUUCCCAUUGUUUUUACUUUUCUUUUUAUUUAGAAAUUGUUAUAUAAAUGAUCAUCCAUUAUUCUCAUUUUAA